rnacentral:misc_RNA from 1 species
GAUGAAGGAACGUAGCGAAAUGCGAUAAGUAGUGUGAAUUGCAGAAUUCAGUGAAUCAUCGAAUCUUUGAACGCACAUUGCGCCCCUUGGUAUCCCGAGGGGCAUGCCUGUUCGAGCGUCAUUUCACCACUCAAGCCUGGCUUGGUGUUGGGCGACGUCCCCUUUGGGGACGCGCCUCGAAACGCUCGGCGGCGUGGCACCGGCUUUAAGCGUAGCAGAAUCUUUCGCUUUGGAAGUCGGGGCCCCGUCUGCCGGAAGACCUACUCGCAAGGUUGACCUCGGAUCAGGCAGGGAUACCCGCUGAACUUAAGCAUAUCAAUAAGCGGAGGA